rnacentral:rRNA from 1 species
UCUACGGGAGGCAGCAGUGGGGAAUUUUCCGCAAUGGGCGAAAGCCUGACGGAGCAAUACCGCGUGAGGGAAGACGGCCUAUGGGUUGUAAACCUCUUUUUUCAGGGAGGAAUUUUGACGUGUACCUGAAGAAUAAGCAUCGGCUAACUCCGUGCCAGCAGCCGCGGUAAGACGGAGGAUGCAAGUGUUAUCCGGAAUCACUGGGCGUAAAGCGUCUGUAGGUGGUUAAGCAAGUCAACUGUUAAAUCUUGAGGCUCAACUUCAAAAUCGCAGUCGAAACUGUUUGACUAGAGUAUAGUAGGGGUAAAGGGAAUUUCCAGUGGAGCGGUGAAAUGCGUAGAUAUUGGAAAGAACACCGAUGGCGAAGGCACUUUACUGGGCUAUUACUGACACUCAGAGACGAAAGCUAGGGUAGCAAAUGGGAUUAGAUACCCCAGUAGUCCUAGCCGUAAACAAUGGAUACUAGAUGUUGAACAGAUCGACCUGUGCAGUAUCAAAGCUAACGCGUUAAGUAUCCCGCCUGGGAAGUAUGCUCGCAAGAGUGAAACUCAAAGGAAUUGACGG